rnacentral:rRNA from 1 species
GGUGAACGCUGGCGGCGUGCUUAACACAUGCAAGUCGAACGAUGAAGCCCAGCUUGCUGGGUGGAUUAGUGGCGAACGGGUGAGUAACACGUGAGUAACCUGCCCUUAACUCUGGGAUAAGCCUGGGAAACUGGGUCUAAUACCGGAUAGGAGCGUCCACCGCAUGGUGGGUGUUGGAAAGAUUUAUCGGUUUUGGAUGGACUCGCGGCCUAUCAGCUUGUUGGUGAGGUAAUGGCUCACCAAGGCGACGACGGGUAGCCGGCCUAAGAGGGUGACCGGCCACACUGGGACUGAGACACGGCCCAGACUCCUACGGGAGGCAGCAGUGGGGAAUAUUGCACAAUGGGCGCAAGCCUGAUGCAGCGACGCCGCGUGAGGGAUGACGGCCUUCGGGUUGUAAACCUCUUUCAGUAGGGAAGAAGCGAAAGUGACGGUACCUGCAGAAGAAGCACCGGCUAACUACGUG